rnacentral:rRNA from 1 species
AGAGUUUGAUGGUGGCUCAGAACGAACGCUGGCGGCAGGCUUAACACAUGCAAGUCGAACGAUAUAGUGGCAGACGGGUGAGUAACGCGUGGAAACGUGCCUUUCACUACGGAAUAGCUUUUGGAAACGAAAGGUAAUACCGUAUACGCCCUCCGGGGGAAAGAUUUAUCGGUGAAAGAUCGGUCCGCGUUAGAUUAGCUAGUUGGUGAGGUAACGGCUCACCAAGGCUACGAUCUAUAGCUGGUCUGAGAGGAUGAUCAGCCACACUGGAACUGAGACACGGUCCAGACUCCUACGGGAGGCAGCAGUGGGGAAUAUUGCACAAUGGGCGCAAGCCUGAUGCAGCCAUGCCGCGUGAAUGAUGAAGGCCUUAGGGUUGUAAAAUUCUUUCGCCAGGGAUGAUAAUGACAGUACCUGGUAAAGAAGCCCCGGCUAACUUCGUGCCAGCAGCCGCGGUAAUACGAAGGGGGCUAGCGUUGUUCGGAAUUACUGGGCGUAAAGCGCACGUAGGCGGACUUUUAAGUCAGAUGUGAAAUCCCGAGGCUCAACCUCGGAACUGCAUUUGAAACUGGGAGUCUAGAGAUCAGGAGAGGUUAGCGGAAUACCGAGUGUAGAGGUGAAAUUCGUAGAUAUUCGGUGGAACACCAGUGGCGAAGGCGGCUAACUGGACUGAUACUGACGCUGAGGUGCGAAAGUGUGGGGAGCAAACAGGAUUAGAUACCCUGGUAGUCCACACCGUAAACGAUGAGUGCUAGUUGUCUGCAGGCAUGCCUGUAGGUGACGCAGCUAACGCAUUAAGCACUCCGCCUGGGGAGUACGGCCGCAAGGUUAAAACUCAAAGAAAUUGACGGGGGCCCGCACAAGCGGUGGAGCAUGUGGUUUAAUUCGAAGCAACGCGCAGAACCUUACCUACGCUUGACAUGCCCGG